GAAUAUUGGACAAUGGGCGAAAGCAUGCUCCAGCCAUGCCGCGUGUGUGAAGAAGGUCUUCGGAUUGUAAAGCACUUUAAGUUGGGAGGAAGGGCAGUAAGCGAAUACCUUGCUGGUUUGACGUUACCGACAGAAUAAGCACCGGCGAACCAUGUGCCAGCAGACGCGGGAAUACAGAGGGUGCAAGCGUUAAUCGGAAUUUCUGGGGGUAAAGCGCGGGUAGGUCGUGCGUUAAGUUGGAUGUGAAAUCCCCGGGCUCAACCUGGGAACUGCAUCCAAAACUGGCGAGCUAGAGUAGGGCAGAGGGUGGUGGAAUUUCCUGUGUAGCGGUGAAAUGCGUAGAUAUAGGAAGGAACACCAGUGGCGAAGGCGACCACCUGGGCUCAUACUGACACUGAGGUGCGAAAGCGUGGGGAGCAAACA
rnacentral:rRNA from 1 species